GAAAUCUCAGCCAUUCAGUGUUUGGGUGAAGACGGAGGCGGGUUCUGGACAGACCUACGCUGUCGGGGAGUGUUUACUUCGCCUCCACUUCUGUUCCUCCCCGCCCUGGUGCUGCUCCAGGUCACAUACUCUUCCUGAGCCGGCUUCAGCCUCUCCGCGCAGAAGUCUCCCGGAGCCAUGGCCUAGUAUUCUUAUGUGAAGUCUACCAAGCUUGUGCUCAAGGGAACCGAGAUUUGCCUGAGGUUGACUGUACAUGCAAAUAUUGAGCUUUCCUCCUGGCCUCCGUGAUAAACAGAAGUUUUGAUAUUGUUAGGCGAGAUGGAAAGAAAGUAUCAAGGAGUGAGCUGAAGCCACUGCCCUUGAGAACCCUCUCGAGGAGUCUGGCCUCAUGAAGAUGCCAGAAUAAAUGGCAGUAAGAAGAAAAAGAGCAAAGAUAAGAAGAGAAAAAGAGAAGAUGAAGAAACCCAGCUUGAUAUGUUGGAAUCUGGUGAACAGUAACAAACUUUGGUGAAAUUUCAGGAACCAUAGCCAUUGAAGUGGAUGAGGGAACCUAUAUACAUGCACUCAACAAUGGUCUUUUUACCCUGGGAGCUCCACACAAAGAAGAAUCGCCCUGAAACCUGGCUAUGGAAAAUAUCUUAGUAUAAAUUCAGAUGAACUUGUUGUUGGCGUUCAGAUGCAAUUGGACCAAGAGAACAAUGGGAACCAGUCUUUCAAAAUGGUGCCUGUGCAGCAGUAUUCACUGUGAUAGGAAGUGAGAAGCAGUCUGAGUGUUCAUUGCUGAGGGAAUCAAGGGCAAAAUAUCAUGGAUGCACUCAUGGACAAAUAAGCAGCAGUUUGAAGCAACACCCUAGAUGGAUGUACAGCCAUCAAGAGGAUCUUAAAGUGUGGUCUUUAGUGGAAAAAAAGCUUAUUUUGGGAGAGGCCAGCUGCCAUGUCAUGAAGACACUCAAGAAGCCCUGUGAAGAGGAAGCAAGGCCUGCCAACAACAGCCAGCACCAACUUUCCAGCCAAGGGAUUGAGCCAUCUCACAGUGGAUCCUCCAGCCCCCACCAAGCCUUCAUAUGACCAAACCAAUACCAACAUGUAACUGUGACCUCAUGUGAGUCCCCAAGCCAGAAUACCCAUCUCCUGUCUCAGAAAUGAUGAGAAAUAAUAAAUAUAUGUGCUCACACACA
rnacentral:lncRNA from 1 species